CCUACGGGAGGCAGCAGUGAGGAAUAUUGGUCAAUGGGCGAGAGCCUGAACCAGCCAAGUCGCGUGAGGGAGUACUGCCCUAUGGUUUGUAAACCUCUUUUGUCGGGGAGCAAAAGCCGGACGUGUCCGGCUGUGAGAGUACCCGAAGAAAAAGCAUCGGCUAACUCCGUGCCAGCAGCCGCGGUAAUACGGAGGAUGCGAGCGUUAUCCGGAUUUAUUGGGUUAAAAGGGUGCGCAGGCGGAUUUUUAAGUCAGCGGUAAAAUCGUGGGGCUCAACCCCAUCCAGCCGUUGAAACUGGGGAUCUAGAGUGUGCGAGAGGUAUGCGGAAUGCGUGGUGUAGCGGUGAAAUGCAUAGAUAUCACGCAGAACCCCGAUUGCGAAGGCAGCAUACCGGUGCACAACUGACGCUCAGGCACGAAAGCGUGGGUAUCGAACAGGAUUAGAUACCCGGGUAGUC
rnacentral:rRNA from 1 species